GGGCCUAUAGCUCAGUCGGUUAGAGCGCAUCCCUGAUAAGGAUGAGGCCGGUGGUUCAAGUCCACCUAGGCCCACAA
rnacentral:tRNA from 1 species